AUCCUUUGGUUCAUAGAUAUGAUGAAUGGGAUAAUCACAGAUGUUGUGUGAUAUGUACAGCCUUAUUGUUACGCAAUGUACAUCAGCCUUCUGAUU
ensembl:snoRNA